CUGCCUCCAUAGCCACAUCCCUCAAUCCAGAAAUAGACUUCCUUGUCAAAAAUAUGCACACUGCUCAGCCACUGCCAGCACUAUGAUUUGAACAACAAAACAAACUGCACUAGAAUGACAGUACAACCAUGGAGAUUUACAGUAAGGAUAUCACUACCCGUUUGUAGUUUAUCUGACUGUCUGCAGGUUGUUAUUAAAAGCAACUACAUGCAUGCAUUCAAUGUCUUUGUGGCAUGAGGGGCACUGACUAAGGAGACAAUUACUUUUUUUAGUUUAAA